CCACUGCUCUCCAGCCUGGGAGACAGAGGGAGACCCUGUCUAAAAACAAUAAAAGAUGAAUGAAUGGAAAUUAUCGGAAAGCAGACUUCAACUCAUCAUGAGAAAAUUUACUUUGAACACUACUGAAAAUAUCACCAAUUAUGUGCUGCAUAUUACUUUGGACCUAUUACUAUGCUAAUCAUGUUUAUACAUAUUUAUUCCUCAUAACCAACCAAUAAAUCAGAUACUAUCCCUAUUUUAAUAUAUCAGGAGAUGGAGGCUCAGAGACGUCAAUUUACUUGCCCAAAAUUACGUAGCUAAUAAGUGGCAAAACUAGAAUUCAAUAAUGCUUACAAACUUUAAAAAUCUUUGUUCUAGACCACUAUGCUAUAUUGCCUCUAUAAAGCCACCCCAAAAUAUCCAGGAUUGAUUGGGAUUAUUAAAUCUGCACAUUGAUGUUGUUCAUUGGCAGUAGAAAAUUUCAGCCAAUACUCCUUUUUAAAAAUGUUUUAAAAACAAGCUCUGGCAAGUUUUAUUAAAGAAAAAUUUUGAGGCCGGGCGCGAUGGCUCACACCUGUAAUCCCAGCACUUUAGGAGGCCGAGGCGGGUGGAUCAAGAGGUCAGGAGAUCGAGACCAUCCUAGCUAACACGACGAAACCCUGUCUCUACUAAAAAUACAAAAAAUUAGCUGGGCAUGGUGGUGGGUGCCUGUAGUCCCAGCUACUCAGGAGGCUGAGGCAGGAGAAUGGUGUGAACCCGGGAGACGGAGCUUGCAGUGAGCCGAGAUCGCGCCACUGCACUCCAGCCUGGGUGACAGAGCGAGACUCUGUCUUAAAAAAAAAAAAGAAAAGAAAAAAGAAAAUUUUUGCAUAGUAUACUUCCCACCAGUCUAUUCUGGCAUGCUUCUAAUAUGAGAAUCACCUGGAUCAAAGAGAGCCAGUGUGCAUACUCUGUAGUAUUUUCCACAUGCUGUGCCCAAUUCAAUAUUAUUGUCACUGUAGUGAUGGACACCAGUCCGGCCAACAUUUCAUAGUACUCUAUUUUGGAUUUCCUCAAAGCUGGGCAGUUGUUAGAGAGGAUGACCAAUUUCACUUUGCCUUGUGUGAUCAACUUCAGAGUCUGCUUGUACCCCAGCAUGUACUUUCUACUUUUCAUAACUAGAGUUGAUCAACUCCAGUGACUUUUUCAUCUUCUUUGUGGCUACCAUCUUCCUGCCUAGGUGUGGGAUGGCCCCCAACCAAGAGCAGCCACCAAGAUGGUGGAAAGUGAGAAAGGCACCCAUACCUCUUGAGAUACUAUCUUUUUCCAUCCACUCUUUUCCUUCUUGACUCUGAUUAAAUUUAAGUUAGACUUUAUCAUGUUAGCCUCUCUAACUUACUGUAUAUCUUUUUGUCUGUCUUUGCUGCAUCCUAGAUUUCUUCUGAUUUAACUUCCAGGUCAUCAAUUCUCAAAGUCAGAAGUGUAAGAUCUUAUCUCCUCUCUGACUUUUGCUUACAUACUUACAUUUUUUUCUCUCAGAUCUUCUUGCCUUUCUCUUAUAGAACACCUGUGGUGUUCCCAGAUUUGUUUUUGUUGUCUGUUUUUCAGAUGGUUCCCACACGUGUUGCUUGCUUCAGUAUGUGCUGGGUUAAAAAAAAAUGGUGCCCAAUAAUAAUUUACCUAACAUUUUUAGUUGUUUUUAUUAGCAGUGUUUGGGCUGAAAAAUAGCCCACUAUAAAGAGAAAUUAAAAUUCAAGUCUUCCAACAAUAAUGAUUGAUGUAUUGCCCACUGACAGUAUGGCAAUCACUGUCUUGAUGGCAUAAUGUACAUUCUAUAUAGGAAAAAGCCAUGGAAGGGACUGCAGUAGGAAGUUCCCAAACCCAGGACAAUUCAAGUAGGGAUAAUGAGAGCUGAAAGGUACAUCAUGUUUACUGGGGAAGAAACCUUUAAAAUUAGAUGUUUCAAAAUGAUAAUGGGUCUGUGCAAAUACCCUUAUAAUUAUUACUAAGGAGUUUCAUGCCCUUCACACAUUCCUUUAGUCACUUACUAUUCAGCAGGCAUUUUGUUGAACACCAAUGAUGUAUCUAUCCAUUACUCUGCAGGUAAGUAAAAAUACAAAGACGAAUACAA
rnacentral:lncRNA from 1 species